AUUGAACGCUGGCGGCAGGCCUAACACAUGCAAGUCGAGCGGAUGAAGGGAGCUUGCUCCUGGAUUCAGCGGCGGACGGGUGAGUAAUGCCUAGGAAUCUGCCUGGUAGUGGGGGAUAACGUCCGGAAACGGGCGCUAAUACCGCAUACGUCCUGAGGGAGAAAGUGGGGGAUCUUCGGACCUCACGCUAUCAGAUGAGCCUAGGUCGGAUUAGCUAGCUGGUGGGGUAAAGGCCUACCAAGGCGACGAUCCGUAACUGGUCUGAGAGGAUGAUCAGUCACACUGGAACUGAGACACGGUCCAGACUCCUACGGGAGGGAGCAGUGGGGAAUAUUGGACAAUGGGCGAAAGCCUGAUCCAGCCAUGCCGCGUGUGUGAAGAAGGUCUUCGGAUUGUAAAGCACUUUAAGUUGGGAGGAAGGGCAGUAAGUUAAUACCUUGCUGUUUUGACGUUACCAACAGAAUAAGCACCGGCUAACUUCGUG
rnacentral:rRNA from 1 species